AUUGAACGCUGGCGGCAUGCUUUACACAUGCAAGUCGAACGGUAACAGGCCUUCGGGUGCUGACGAGUGGCGAACGGGUGAGUAAUGCAUCGGAACGUACCCAGAGGUGGGGGAUAACGCAGCGAAAGCUGUGCUAAUACCGCAUGUGAUCUGAGGAUGAAAGCGGGGGACCGAGCAGCAAUGUUUGGCCUCGCGCCUUUGGAGCGGCCGAUGUCGGAUUAGCUAGUUGGUGGGGGAAAGGCCUACCAAGGCGACGAUCCGUAGCUGGUCUGAGAGGACGACCAGCCACACUGGGACUGAGCCACGGCCCAGACUCCUACGGGAGGCAGCAGUGGGGAAUUUUGGACAAUGGGCGCAAGCCUGAUCCAGCAAUGCCGCGUGCGGGAAGAAGGCCUUCGGGUUGUAAACCGCUUUUGGCAGGAACGAAACGGUGUCCGCUAAUACCGGGCGCUAAUGACGGUACCUGCAGAAUAAGCACCGGCUAACUACGUG
rnacentral:rRNA from 1 species